AUUACUCUAGUAUUAGAGCCUAUUGGCUCUUUUGUGAUGUAGAAUGUUUCAGACUUUAGUGAGGAAUGAAACGAUUCUAUUGGUGCGUUAUCUGAA
rnacentral:antisense_RNA from 1 species